rnacentral:rRNA from 1 species
GACGAACGCUGGCGGCGUGCUUAACACAUGCAAGUCGAACGGAAAGGCCCUGCUUUUGUGGGGUGCUCGAGUGGCGAACGGGUGAGUAACACGUGAGUAACCUGCCCUUGACUUUGGGAUAACUUCAGGAAACUGGGGCUCAUACCGGAUAGGAGCUCCUGCUGCAUGGUGGGGGUUGGAAAGUUUCGGCGGUUGGGGAUGGACUCGCGGCUUAUCAGCUUGUUGGUGGGGUAGUGGCUUACCAAGGCUUUGACGGGUAGCCGGCCUGAGAGGGUGACCGGCCACAUGGGGACUGAGAGACGGCCCAGACGCCUACGGGAGGCAGCAGUGGGGAAUAUUGCACAAUGGGCGGAAGCCUGAUGCAGCAACGCCGCGUGCGGGAUGACGGCCUUCGGGUGGUAAACCGCUUUCGCCUGUGACGAAGCGUGAGUGACGGUAAUGGGUAAAGAAGCACCGGCUAACUACGUG